rnacentral:rRNA from 1 species
ACAGCAGCAGCCACGGUAAUACGUAGGGCGCAAGCGUUAUCCGGAAUUAUUGGGCGUAAAGAGCUCGUAGGCGGUUUGUCGCGUCUGCCGUGAAAGUCCGGGGCUCAACCCCGGAUCUGCGGUGGGUACGGGCAGACUAGAGUGAUGUAGGGGAGACUGGAAUUCCUGGUGUAGCGGUGAAAUGCGCAGAUAUCAGGAGGAACACCGAUGGCGAAGGCAGGUCUCUGGGCAUUAACUGACGCUGAGGAGCGAAAGCAUGGGGAGCGAACAGGAUUAGAUACCCCCGUAGUCCCUGUCUCUUAUAC